rnacentral:rRNA from 1 species
GAUGAACGCUGGCGGCGUGCCUAAUACAUGCAAGUCGAGCGAACAGACGAGAGUGCUUGCACUCUCUGACGUUAGCGGCGGACGGGUGAGUAACACGUGGGUAACCUACCUAUAAGACUGGGAUAACUUCGGGAAACCGGAGCUAAUACCGGAUAAUAUUUAGCUUCGCAUGAAGCAAUAGUGAAAGACGGUUCUGCUGUCACUUAUAGAUGGACCCGCGGUGUAUUAGCUAGUUGGUGAGGUAACGGCUCACCAAGGCAACGAUACAUAGCCGACCUGAGAGGGUGAUCGGCCACACUGGGACUGAGACACGGCCCAGACUCCUACGGGAGGCAGCAGUAGGGAAUCUUCCGCAAUUGACGAAAGUCUGACGGAGCAAUGCCGCGUGAGUGAAGAAGGUUUUCGGAUCGUAAAACUCUGUUGUAAGGGAAGAACAAGUACGUUAGUAACUGAACGUAUCUUGACGGUACCUUACCAGAAAGCCACGGCUAACUACGUG